ACGAAGGGGGCUAGCGUUGUUCGGAAUUACUGGGCGUAAAGCGCACGUAGGCGGAUUGCCAAGUCAGGGGUGAAAUCCCGGGGCUCAACCUCGGAACUGCCUUUGAUACUGUCAGUCUAGAGUCCGGAAGAGGUGGGUGGAAUUCCUAGUGUAGAGGUGAAAUUCGCAGAUAUUAGGAAGAACACCAGUGGCGAAGGCGGCCCACUGGUCCGGAACUGACGCUGAGGUGCGAAAGCGUGGGGAGCAAACAGG
rnacentral:rRNA from 1 species